ensembl:lncRNA
UGGUUAGUCAAUAGGGUAUGAAAAUUCUACUUCAAGGGGUUCGGAUUGGUGAUCAUGGGGAUUGGUGAUCAUGGGGAUUGGCAUGGCUGGGUUCCAGUCCAAGGUGUGGGCAGAGCUUCUACCGAACUUCAACGUGGAGUGCUGACUUGAAGCUACCUGUCCCCCUCACUCUUGCCCCAAGAGGCCAAAGCAAGAGCAGAUUCCCUAGGCAAGAGCAGCAGCACAACCAGGAAACCCCAAAGCCCGUGCUCCGACAGGUGGCCCUUCACAGGGGGCAGCGGGACAGGCAUCUUGAAGGGCAUAUGUCCUCAGAAGCUCCGAGCCUGUUUUCUGUAGUUUACAGUUAGAGCUCUAUUUUGUUAUGGUUUUUUAAACUUUUAAGUCCUGCUCUAUUUUCCUGGGCAGGUUUAUGUUGAUGUUUACCCACUACAAUUUUUUAAAAAUAUAAGCUCACAUGCCUUUUCCCUGCCACAACCAAACCCCUACUCUACCCUACCCACCCACCCCCAGCCCAGGUCAGCUUUCCUGGAGCUGGCUAAUCAAAGCUUCCUCACCUCUUCCCAACCCUUACAAGCAAGGGUGCUAGGGGCUCAGCUAUAUGACCAUUCUCCCUGACAGGGAGUCCAAACUUGGCCUAGCAUCCCUCCUGGCCCCGCUCUGGCCACGACUUGGCCUGUGCCUGGUUCUCCAUCAGAAAGGGGAUGCUGAACAAAACCUCCUUCCAAGUUUUAUCCAAUUCCUUCCUCAUUGCCUCGGGCUGCGUCAGGGGAAGCAGGGGACAGGUGUCCAGUUGCUGGGCCGAGGGAAGAGCUGGUUUGGCAUAGGACAUAACCAGUGAAGCUAGAGGCUAUAGCCCCUAAACUUGCUUGAGGCCAACGAUAAUUACUCACAACUAAGUACCUUAAUGCUAAUGAGGUCCACUAAAAAGGGGAGGAAGGCAGACCUCCUGGGAGACCCACGAAGGGUUUUUAACCAGGGAAAACUGAGCCCCCGGAAAACCUAACCACUGUGCAGGCAGAAUUUGUUUGAGGGAUAGAACGACAAUAAAAUAAAUGUUCCUGCAGCCUGAGAUUUCAGGUAGAGUACUGAUUAAGGUUUAAUAAGACAAUAGGUGACCUGAGGACAUGCAAGCUUGUCAAAUGCAACAGCCUCCUGCUAGAGUGACUUGUACAUGAGCUUGCUUGCAGAAGACUAGAUUAGAUGCUUCUCAGGAUCCCCUGAUGCCCAGGGGUUCUCUGAUUUUCAUGUUCUCUGCCCAGAUGCGCUGGGGGAGUUGAGAGUGUGCUUAUUUUCACUGUGAUCAUGAGACCACGGUUCUGGGUUAUCUCCUCUCACACAUCAAGCCCCAGAGGAGGCGGCAAGAGAAACAGCCACAAACAAGUACUUUACCCCACGGCUUAGUGGCCAGUAAACACCCUGGGGACUAGGGACAGGAACCACCUGUAGGCACCUCUUUAGGGCCCAGGGAGACAAGUGUCCUCUCUUCUACAUACAUUUGGGCUCCCCUUACAGAGCCCUUUGCCCUGGCUCUGUGGUCCUUGUUGCUCUAACAGUCCAGAUGUACACCCAGCCUCAGGGGGAAGGCAGCUCUCUCCAGACAGAGUCUCAGGGCCCAGCAAGGUCAGGUUAUCUGCUUUCAUUCAGGGCAGCAAAUGAUAGAAAUGGUGCCAGGGAGUGGCAAGGGCAUGGGGGUAGGUGGGGGGUGUCUUUUUCUUUUCAUAAAGUAACAACAGACGAGACAGAGAUUAAACAUCAGAAAAAAACCUCUGGAAUGACCUUCCUCAUUCCAGGAGGCCCUGGAAUAAGGAAGAGGCUUCUUUCUGAGGGACCUUUGAGGAAUUUUGACAGCUGUUGACAUGGGGUCUAGGAUAGGGGAAGCUGUGACUGGAGGGGCAGGAGAUGGUCCAAGUGUCCAUCCAGAGAUGAGACUCUUAGAAUCAAAGUGUUCAGCCCAGGAGGUCUUGGAGAUCCCACCUGCUGUGGCCCUGUACCUUACGGGAAGCCAUUAAGGGGGCUCAUCUAGGAAUUCUGGUUACAGCCCAGUGCUUAUCCCAGCGUAUGCUGCCUCUUUAGAGCAGUCCCAAGGGCCAGCCAGCCUGUACUCUGGGCAAGAGCCCAAAAUGGCUAGGAAUGUUUGACUCCCUUAAUCUCUUCCCCAGCUACAGGGGAAUCUUUUCUCUGCCUGGUCUCAGAAUGGGACUGCCAACUGGCUCAUUGGUCGGAGAUGCAGUAUCCUCAAACCUGUGGCCACUGGCAGGACAGCGGUGCUCUGUCUCCCUGGGUGAGACCUAUCCUAGGCUUACUCCUGGAUGUGAUGGGGAUUGCCAGAGAGGCUCUUAGCAUAAAAGGGAUCAGAUGGGCAUUUUUCUAUGUGCCUCCAAAAAGCUCCAUGGAAACACGCACCUGGUAGCUGUGGGACACCUGUGGACUUGUGUAUAUGGUCAUAGGCUUUGGGCAGACAGGACGAAAAGGAAAAUGAGAGAAACAAAAUGGGUCAGAUAGCUUUGGCCAGAGCCCCAGGCAGCCUUUGGGGCCUAUGACACUUAGUGCCCUUAGAUGGGAUAUAUCUUGCCUCGGCCCCAAGACUCCUCCAACUUACCCGUCCCAUCCAGGGCCUGCACAGCUUAGAGAGGCUCACAGCUUGGCAAAUGCUAGGGCUUCAUCGGACCACUGACUUGACUCAGUGUUUGUUAAAACAGAACCACUCCCAUUGGCCUACUACUUCUCUCCUAUACUUCUUGUAAUGAUAGUUAUUUAUUGACUCUGGUAGCAGGCAGUUCUUAAAUAAAGAUGGUUUCUCAACCUGUUGGGG